rnacentral:lncRNA from 1 species
UCUUUCCCUCUCUCGUUGAGCUCCUUGUUUUCCUCUCACUGUUGCCUAGUCUCCUCUCUGACUUGACCGUCGGAGGGUCCCCACCGGAGCCGCCUUCGGUCAGUACGGACUUUUUUUUGCAGGCGCUCGUUCUCGAUGACCAAACGAUGAGAAGAUUGGCCGCAACACCGUGCAACAGAUGAAAUCUCACCAUCACCUAAGAGUACAUGACUGAUGUUGCUGCCUGGUUGCUGUCAUUAUGUGCCAAUUUUUCCCCAGCUUUGUAACCAAUUUCAGAGUUCACUUUCUUUCUUGUAUAAAAGAAUGGCCUAGUGCAUUGGA